rnacentral:rRNA from 1 species
CCUGACGUAGCGACACCGCGUGAGACGAAGAAGCCCCUUGGGGUGUAAAGCUCUGUCAGCUGGAACGAAAAAAAUGACGGUACCAGCAGAGGAAGCAUCGGCUAACUACGUGCCAGCAGCCGCGGUAAGACGUAGGAUGCAAGCGUUGUCCGGAUUUAUUGGGCGUAAAGAGUUCGUAGGUGGUUUGUUAAGUUUGGUGUUAAAGAUUGGGGCUCAACCCUGAAACUGCACUGAAUACUGGCAGACUCGAGUGUGGUAGAGGCUAGUGGAAUUCCCAGUGUAGCGGUGAAAUGCGUAGAUAUUGGGAAGAACACCGGUGGCGUAGGCGACUAGCUGGGCCAUAACUGACACUGAGGAACGAAAGCCAGGGGAGCGAAUGGGAUUAGAUACCCCAGUAGUCCUGGCCGUAAACGAUGGAUACUAGGCGUAUCGGGUAUCGACCCCUGAUGUGCCGCAGCUAACGCGAUAAGUAUCCCGCCUGAGUAGUACGGCCGCAAGGUUGAAACUCAAAGGAAUUGACGGGGGGC